GAACCUGCGGAAGGAUCAUUGACGUUUUACACAAACAAAAAGUACGUUGUACGUAUUAUUCGAGAAAUUACAUCUGUUGCUGGAGCUGUGUCUCAGACUAGUUGAGGAGAGUCGCAUUACGAGAAAGCAUUCUUCUAGUCGCUUCAGCAACACAGAGAAAUCAAGACGACCUCCACUUUUAAUAUAAAUCACUGAGAGUAGACUACUUAUUUCGUCUAUUUCUGUUCGACAUUGAUGAGACAAUAGUGAACUUUAGAGUAAUAUUAGUCUUUGUUUUUGUGAAUUUUUAAUCGUGUUGUAUAAAGCUGUUGUGUUUAUAAAAUGUGAAUGAUAAGUAUUUCCUGUUCGUUGAGUAUAUGUGUAAUGCGUGUAUUCAACGUUUAGGGGUGCUCUAUUUUCACAGAGUGAGAUUUUACGAGUUGAUAUAUAUAUUCAUAACCAUUAACGGUGGAUCACUUGGCUCGAGGGACGAUGAAGAACGUGGCAAAAUGCGAUAAGUGAUGCGAUUCGCAAGCCUAGUGAGUCAUCAAGUUUUUGAACGCAAAUGGCACUCAAGAUUGCAUCAGGAGUAUGUCUGGUUGAGGGUUGUUUUUUGAGAUAACGUCACACGGUUGGCUUUGCAAUUGAUGUGCGAAUAUACACUAGUUGUAUAUUAGAGUUGGAUGUGAACCAAGCGCGGGUUCUCAUCUCAAAUGAUUGGACAACACCUGUAACACUUUGGUAGAUGUAUUAAUUGUUGAAUUUGUUGGUGAAAACAAAAGAGUACAACAAUGUGUGCACCUAUUAAAAAGAUACAGUAGUUAUAAUUAUAAAUUUACGGCAACCUCAACUCAGGCAAGAUUACGCCGUGAACUAAAGCAUUUCAGUAACGGCAGGAAAAGAAAAUAACUAUGAUUCCCUCAGUAACUGCGAGUGAAGUGGGAAGAGCCCAACGUUGAAAGCUACAUCUUUAACCGGGUGUCGCGUUGUAACGUAUAGAUGCAACAUCGAGACGUGAACCAGAUUUGAAGUCGCUUAGAAUAGCGCACCAUAGAGGGUUUUAGUCCCGUACAUGAAUUUGUGUGUCACAUCAAGUAUGUUGUCAACUAAGAGUCGGAUUGUUUGGGAAUACAGUCUGAAGUGGGUGGUAAACUCCAUCUAAGGCUAAAUAUAACCUCGAGACCGAUAGCGAACAAGUACCGUGAGGGAAAGUUGAAAAGCACUCUGAAAAGAACGUGAAAAGGGCGUGAAACCGUUAAUGGGGAAGCGUACGGUAGAGUCGAAGUAGAGCAGCGUGGGUGCGCGUAAAAAGUGGCAACACAGAAUGCGUGGCAGGUAGCGUUACUCUACGCGCCGGACUCAUUGUUAAAUGACUGGCGUAGUAAGUGGAAGGUAGUAACAGUGCAUCCCUGAGGAUGUUC
rnacentral:rRNA from 1 species